rnacentral:misc_RNA from 1 species
AGAAAUUGUCAGCUUUUAUUUUUUAUUUUUCAGCAUUUGAUAGUCAACAGGUCAUGCUGCUUACCGCUACGGCCCUGCUGCCAUCACAACCGUGCGUACCCCACGGUCCCGCAACGGGCGAUUGUAUCGGAGAAUUGCUGGAGAACGAGAGAAGAAAGAGGAAGGGGUCUCCAUGUCGAUUCAGUGAGCUUACGCACGUCGAACACUCAUCAACGAACGGCGCCGCGACGUUAUAUCCAAAAAUGGCGUUUCUCGCAUAGCGAUAACCCAUCGUAGUCGGCGUUCGUCAACGUCGUCACGAUCCGCUCGCUAGAACUCACCGACCGACCUGGUGGAACCGCAAGCCGUCAGUCCGAGGAAGAGCUAACGAACGCGAAAAUGCAAUCGACGGAACAACUACGACCGGAACAACUGGUGGGUCUGGUGGCCCGCUCGGCAGAAGGUACGGCCGCAAAAGGGAUGCCGAUCAAGGGCCACGAGGACCUCUGGGUGGAGAUCCAGGCCAACACCUUUCGGAACUGGGUGAAUGAGCAUCUAAAGCACGCCGGUGACGUGGGUGGUGGCCCCGUGCUGGACCUCGCCGAGGAUUUUCGAGACGGUACGCGUCUCUGCGCCCUGGUCGAGGUGCUCACGAAACGUCGUUUACCGCGAUGGAAUCCGCGACCGGCGAAUCAGCAUCAUCACCUGGAGAACGUGUCCACGGCGCUGCAAGCUAUCGAGGCCGAUGGCGUCAAGCUCGUCAAUAUAGGUAACGUAGACAUCGUGAACGGCAACCUGAAGCUGAUCCUGGGUCUCAUAUGGUCGCUCAUCGUGCGAUAUCAAAUCGGCAAGUCCAAGUUCCCGCCGAGGAAACUCAUGCUCGCAUGGCUCAAGGCUGCUUUACCGGAAUGUAGAGUCAACAAUUUCACGACCGACUGGAACUCGGGCGUGUAUCUGAGCGCACUUUUGGAUUACUCUAAGCCCGGUCUGUUCCCUCAUUGGCGACAACUCGAUCCGAAUGAUAGUGUUUACAACUGUCGCAAGGCCAUGGAGAUAUCGAAACGGGAGUUCGACAUUCCCAUGGUGCUAGAACCAGAGUAUCUGGCAUCGCCGUACUUGGACGAGCUCUCGGGGAUGACCUACUUGUCGUACUUUAUGAAGGAAGGCUCGCCGGGCUUCCACGCAACGCUACGAUGGGUCAAUUCGCAAUUAUCACAUACCUCGAUACGGAACUUUACGACGGACUGGAACGACGGUAGAGCUCUCUGCGGAAUCAUCAGAAAUCUGGGUGGACCGGCGCCACCCUACGAGAAACUCGACACCGAUCCAUCUGCCUGGGAACAUAAUUUGCAGAUGGGUAUCGACGGCGGUAAAAAACUCGGCGUGGAACCGAUCUUAAAGGCAAAAGAUAUGGCGGACCAGAACGUGGAACAUUUAGGCGUGAUGGCGUAUGCGGCGUACUUUCAAUGGGUGAAGCCUCGCCCUCAAGCGAGUCAACAGAUUGCUGUGCACAUCGAUAGUACAUCCGCCCGAGUGCAACAGCCGGCACACUUCAAAUUAGAAAUGCUCACCAAAGAUGUAAAUGCGAGGGAAGUGCGCAGUGAAAUCAUUAGUCCCAACGGACGCGUGGAAUGCAGACUUACGUGGAACGGAGCUCACGGCAAAGGCACCUUCGUACCUACGGAAGUUGGCAUGCAUAAGCUAAUGGUAUACAACGAUGGCGAACUGGUGAACGGAUGUCCCUAUUAUUUCAGAGUUUUACCACCUCUAACGAAAAUCAAAUCUCCGGGUAUGGAUCCUUGCGCCAUAGGAUCUAUCGUCGAAGUUCUAGUCAAUAGUUAUGGAACUAGUCAUGAUGGUAUUGAUGUGACCGCAUGGUCUCCGACCGGCAGAUCUUUGCCGUGUCCCGUCAAGGAAAAGGACGGAGUUCAUACAGCGACCUUUCAGCCCGAUGAAACGGGAGAAUGGAGCAUUGCAAUAACGCAUAAAGGAAAUCACAUACAAGGCGGUCCCUUCACUUGCUUCGUGUUUGAUCCUAAUGGAAUUAAGCUCUUAGAUACCGAUGGUGCCAUGCCCGGACAACCAUUCUCCUUCAUCGUCGAUGCGCGAGGAACCGGCGGCCUCGGUGAUGUAAUCAUCGAUAUUGUCCACGAUAAGCAGUCGGUAUCUUAUAGGAUAGAGGAUUUUGGACACAUGCAGUACCGGGUGUCCUUUGUCCCCGGCGAUGCUGGCAAGUACCGGGUGUACAUGUACUUUAACGGCUCAGAUGUGCGCGGUUCGCCGUUCUCUAUACGAGUAGGUACACAGAAGGGCUCGCGAAGGUCGAAGGACUCUACGUCCAGCCUAGAGCGAUCAAAAGUAUCCUCCCUGGAACGACGAAUGAACGGGCUAAAUAUUUCCGCAACGGAACGAACCAGUCCGACUCAGAAAUUAUAUACGUCCACUGUAUAUAAAUCCAUCAGUCCAACGCAACGUGGUUAUUCGCCAAUCCAUCAAGCCAGUCCGACUUACAAGAUGUCGAGCAAUUAUAUCACCGAGAAUUCUACCACCUCGACUUACCACAACACCAGCUCUCUAAAUCACAGUCCUGUACAAAGGAGUGUGCACAGUCCGUCAGUGCUGAAGGAGACGAAAGAUAUUUAUAGCAACAGCACGUAUAACCAUAGAUCACCGAAUCUGCAGAGUCCUACUUUCAUCAAAGAGUCUAAGGAUAUUUAUUCGUCUAGUACACUGAAUAGAUCACGAUCACCAGAUGCAAGUCCAAUCGGGCAUGUUAUCAAAGAGUCGAAAGAUAUUUACAGUUCGGGAUCCCUGAAGAGAUCGCACUCGCCACCGCGCUCGAGUCCGUAUCACAGCGUCACGAGUCCCGUUCAAAGUCCUAUAAACCGCAGUUUCAGUCCAAGGAUCAGUGACAAGGAUGCAUCGUUCAAUAAGCGUGAAUCCACAGAUAAUGGCGUCGUGGAUACCAGCAGCAAUGUACGGGUAUCUUCAAUGGUAGGUAGCACUUCCAGACGCGAUUCCUGGGACGCGAUUGCUAAGACGAAAUCGCUACUAUCAUACGGCAGUUUGGAAUCCCUGGCGAAUCUGACCAACAAUUCGCCGACCGCGGAAAAUCGGGAUAACAGCCCGAACAACAAUUUUCUGAACAACAAUUACAAGAACGCGCAAAGUUACACCACAAAGAAUGUAUCAUCGCACUCCGCAAUGACUAGUUAUUCGUCCGUGCAGAAAUCUUCAAGUCCCGAUUAUGGCGCUGGACAAAAAUACGAUGCUAAUCAGACAGCCACUCGUCAUCACGGCAUCCUGAAGAACAAGAACAACAACUACUAUGGCAAGAGCGUGGAUGUGACGGAUGGUACCGCGACGCACGAUAGAUACUUGAAUAACGGCGGUUCCGUUUACGUAUCCGCAUCACCUGGCAAAACGAUGAGUUCGAUCAUCGCCACCGGAAGCGCGCUGGAAACGCUGCCAGUACAUCGGCCGACCACUUUCAGCGUCAACUCCGAUGUGGAUCCUAAUAAGGUGUCCGUCACCGUUACCGGUCCCACCGGCAAGACCGUACUGGUACAGAGAUCAAAAUUGCGUGGCUUGAUAUACACUAUCACCGCCGAGGAGGUCGGUGAACAUACCAUCCAAGUCUUGGUAAACGGCCAGCACAUCAAUGGCUCGCCCUUCAGAUCGCAAGCGUAUAACGCUCGAGCUAUACAAGUUGGAAACAUCCCGAAUGGAGUGGUGAACCAACCGGUAGAAUUUGAAAUUGACGGAUCGAGAGCCGGCUCGGGAAACUUGGAGAUCCUCGUGAACGGAGGACACGUUACGAGUUUCGUGAGAGCGCUAGGUAGUCAGCGUUUCCUGGCAUCGUUUGUGCCACAUGAAGCGGUUACGCAUUUGGUCGAGAUGACGUUCAACGGGGAAGUCAUCCCUGGAUCACCUUGGCGAGUUGGCAUCAUGCCUGCACCGAAGAUGUCAGUGAUCGGUGAUUCAAUCAGGCUGGUUCCUGCUGGUAGUCCCGCUAUCUUUGAGCUGUCCGCGUUAGGCUUCAGCAGCAGCGAGAUUGACGUCAAGAUCAUAACACCCUCGAAGAGACACAUUUCCGCGAGAAUUGACGAGGAGCCAGGACGCUCCGGCGAAUUUCGCGUCGAGUUUACGCCAACUGAAGUAGGCAGCCACCUCGUGGAAGUGAGCAUCGCGGGACAGAAGCUACCGGCAGGACCGCUCGUCGCCAAGGUGUACAAUAGUAGUCUGAUCCAAGUUACUGACGUACCUAGCGCUGUAGUUGGCCAUGCCUGUCAAUUCAGAGUGGAUGCCAGCGCUGCAGGAGAAGGCCAACUAGAAAUCUCCAUAAACGAAGGAGAAGUGCCCAAUCAUGUUCAAGUAGUGGGUGGUGGUCGUUGUCUCGUAUCUUUUACUCCUGAAAUUGCUAAGCCUCAUUAUAUCGAUAUAAAGUUUAACGGAGAAGCAGUACGUGGAUGUCCCUUCAUCUGCAACGUAUCUGACACAAGCAGAGUCACACUGAGUAUGAAUCAUUUAGAACUAAUUCCAGUCAAUCAUCCUGCUAGUUUCCACAUGGGAGUCGAUGGAAGUGGCAGUGCAGAAUUAGCGGUUUCCGUAAGGGGACCAAAUAGCGAAUUGCCAGUUAAAGUUACUGGUGACAUAAGUAAUGGUUUCACCGCUGAAUUUAUACCAAGAGACGUGGGUGUACAUUCAAUUAGCGUAGAAUACAACGGUUAUCCCGUUAAUGGCACGCCGUUUUUGGCCAAAGCGUUCAACGCGGAUAAUGUGCUAAUUGGACCUGUAGCUAGAGGCAGCGUUGGCCAACCAACCCACUUUACUGUCGAUGCGAGUCAAGCUGGUGAAGGAAAUCUGGAGAUUACAAUAUCAGCUCGUGGUCAAAAUAUACCAACGCAAGUAACGCCACAAGGAAAUGCGCGGUUCUCCGUUAGUUUUGUACCAUUUGAGGCGUCCGAACAUAUUAUCAAUAUAGCAUUCAAUAAGAAAACUGUGCCUGGUUGCCCUAUAAUAAUGCGUGUGGGUGGCGACAGCCACGUAACCGUAAGUGGGCAGGCACUGAGCAGCGCUGGAUUGGGACGGCAAAGCUAUCUAACUGUCAGUAAUGUUGCCGGUAGCUUGGAAGACUUAGAAGUUAAUGUUGAAGGUCGGCCAACUUUCAGACUACGACAUUACUAGACUUCUCAAAAACUAAUCUCGCUCUUAUCUUAAUUUAUGGAUAUAUAAUGUGAAACACACACACACAUGGUGGGCCCAAUGGACAGGCCGUACCUGCUCAGGUCACCGACAACAAAGACACGACAUGCAGCGUGGCGUUUACACCGAGAGUCGUUGGCGAGCACCGAAUAUCGGUGAAUUACCGGAAUAUCCCGGUGGCCGGCAGUCCGUUCAGCUGUAAGGUGUACGAUGUUGCUGCGAUAAAGGUGAAAGACGCU